UGAGAUGGCAGUUGCAAAUCAAAUUACGAGCCAGCUAUGAACGCCCGAGUAGCGAUUAUUAAAUGAGCAAAGGUCUAAGGAAUAUGAAGAAACUUCUAUGGAUUACUACGAUUUGAGAGCUGACAAUGGUGUAAGUGGACAAAAAAUACCAGUGUAAUUCACAAUUUGACAAGUGGUGAAGCCAAGUCCGGGUCAAAGCAAUCGAAAACAGAAAAUGUUCAAAUUUGGUUACAACUAUAGAUCUGGAAAAUAUUUGAAAAAGAAAAGAAAAACCUAGGUAUGGUGGAGCUGCUAGGUGAAGAAACAGUAGUGGAGUCCACUUGGUGCAACAAGAGGGAUCUAAAACGUGAUCAAUUUAGUAGCGGAGGCAGUCAGAUAUCCCACAAGCAAUAGGUCAUGGAUAGGAUCGAUCUACAGAAACAUUUUUUGAAGAGCUUAGAAAAACUAGUGAUGAACUGCAAUGGUAAAGUGGCACGGAUAUUAAGUGUGACACUUAUCUGGAAAGAAGGAUUUGAGGAUGUCAAAGGUCGCGAGCGCGGCCGCGGCGUUUCCGAUGAGUGCCGGCAACGGCGCAGGCGUUGGUGUUGUUGCUGACUCGAACGACAGCGAGCUCGAAGCGGCGCUGCUCGUUAGGGGCGGCAAGAAGAAGAGCAAGGAACAGAGAAGGUAGAAGAAUGAGCUCAGGGGUCUGCCGCAUUAUUUAUAAAGGAAGGGGAGCCCGAAACGGUAGAGGCAAAAUCCUAGGAGGCGCAAUAAAUUUUGGCUAAAAAGGUUCCUCGAACAAGACAAAAUAUAUUUAAAGAUCCGUAUGACAUCAUGCGUGGAAAUCGGAAGACCGGUAUGAUGAUGUCAUAACAUGGGAUGGUAGAAAAUAAGCCAAGUACGAAGUCGCGCAAGCCAGCAAAUGGAUUUACCCGGCUGUAAGGCUCAUGAAGGAAGGAUGAAAGAUGCCAGACCCAGCUUAAUCUUUUACAGUUAGUUUUUGUCUUAUUUUCAGGAUGGAACUUAACCUGGAUAAAUCCAAGUUAAACUGGGGGCUAAUGUUGGGGGUAUUCCCCACGAUCAAGACCCGGCAGGAAUCUUGACCCAGGCAGAAGCAUAGAAGCUCUAUGGGUCAGUACUUUUCCCGGAUCAUAGAGGAAACAUAAGGGCCUGAAGGUCCAGAAGGACGUUUUCCAAGGGCUGGCUCAUGAACAAGCUGGCAUUGAUCCGGCUUAACAAGACGGUGCAAGAAGUGGCUGAUUUCCUAACAUGGGAGGCAAGAUAGAUAGAGUUAGAGUAGGAUACGGGUUGACAGUACGACCUGGAAUCUCAUGUAAACCCGGGGACUUGUCCUGUUAUAUAAAGCGGAGCCCCCAAAUCGAAAACACCAAGUUGUAAUCUCUCGAAAGCUAGGUUAGCGAAUCCGCAUCCUUGUAAUCGAGAUCAUCGUCAAUAUCAAUCAAGCAGGAAGUAGGUCUUUACCUCCACCGUGAGGGGCCGAACCUAGGUAAACUCGUGUCCUUUAUUCACAAUCAACCCCGUUCAAGAAACCACCUAGUUGCGCCUCCAGACUUAGUCCUUUCAUGAGGACAUCCCUCGUGACAAAACCACGACACCUCCUCCGCCGCCGCUACAUAUAUUUGGUCCAGCCCAUAGCUCUUUUCGGUUUUGGGGAAAAUUUCUCGAACCUUCCCAAGCCGGUCUUUUUUGUGAGUGACUUUCUUUCGAGUUUUUUUUUCAUUUUGGUUCUUUUUUUUUCUUUUCAUUUUGUUUCCCUCAUGUUGUUUUUUUCUUUAACUUUUACUUUUUCAUCUUUUCUGUUUCAUUUUCUGAAAUUGUGAACAUUGUUUUGAAAUCAUGAACAUUUUUGAAAGUUACAAACAUUUUUUGAAAUCGUGAACAUUUUUAGGAUUUACAAAUAUAUUUUAAUAUCUCGAAUAUUUUUUGAAUCAUGUCAACAUUUUUCUUGACAGACAAACUUUUUUGGAAAUUGGGGGAAUAAUUCUUGAAGUCGUGAACAAUUUUUUGUUUUGAUGAACAUGUUUUAAAUGCAUGAUUUUUUCCGAAUACACAAACAUUUUUGAAUCAGUGAACAUUUUUGAAUUAACGAACAUUUUUUGAAUCAAUGUACUUUUUUUGUAAUUCACAGAUAUUUUUUGAAUAUUGUGAACAAUUUUAAUAAAUUCAUAAACAGUUUUUGAAUUUGUGACCAUUUGUUCACUCAAACGUGCCUGUCAAAAUCAUGAACAUUUUUUUUUACUUCCCGAACAUUUUGUUUUGAAAAAUCAUGAACUUUUUUUAAAUAUGUGAACUUUUUUUUGAAUGGCGAUUUUUUAGAUCCAUGAACAUUUCAUGAUUUCUUGAACAUUUUUUUUCAAAAUUCACAAUUGUUUUAAAUUUCAGAAUUUUUGAAAUCCUGAAUUAUUGAAGCAAGAAAAAAAUGAAAUGAAAUGAAAAAAGAACGACAUGGAAAAAAUAUUUGCCCCGUACGUUGGCCGUGCCAAAUGGGUGCUGAGGAGAAAUUUGGUGUGUUGUCCGAUUGUCCGAGGACGCACCCGGGGCGUGUCCGCGGGUGAUGGGGGACGAAAUUUGCUACCUGUGGGUUUUAGAUGCUCUAAGAGUUGCAAAUGAGCUCGAGCACCAAUGGCGCACGGUUCAUAGCUGCCUGACGGCGCAACCCCGAAAAUGCAACACUUUUUAGCAAUACGAGUUCUUUCAGUUUAAGCAAGAUUUGGUCAGCUGGUAUGGCAACCAAGCACUUGAAGAAAAAAGGAAUCCAUGGAGACCAGGCCGACCACUUCCGGCCGGCCGUACGUACCACUGUCCAGCACUUCGUCCUGCUUCCCUUGGAUGCACUGUGUGCCGGUGCGCUGUUCGAACAGUAGCAGAGGCCAAGCGACAUAGAAGGAAGGCCUGGGACAUGCUAGAUGACUGACGAUGAGUUCAUGGCCUGGGACGUACUCCUAGUGACGGCAAAUUUGACAAUUUUGACCUGUGGAUGUAAUAAAUUCCUGAAAUGAACUGCCCACAAAACUAAUUCACAUGGCUGACCUUUUUGAGUGGCGCCUGACAUGCUGGCGCCACACCUUACGGUGCAGCGCCUAGCUCUAGGGCGUUGCACCUCUGUCCACCGUGGCAGCCCCUGGGUCCGCACCCAGCAGUGCAGCGCCUCCGAGCUAGACGCCACACAUGUAAUGUGCAACGCCCUGCACUGUCUGUUACUAGUUGGCUGGCCCCCCUCCCCCACUCCCCCCGCACACACCCCAACCCCCAUAGCAUCCCACCUGAAAUUUGCCCCCUCUCCCCCUCUCUCCCCCUCUCAAAUCCUUCCCAAAAUCUUCCAAAUUUGAAGAUUUUGUCCAUGGAUUUCGAACUCAAACCCUCCCUCAAGGUAAUCUUCUCUAAUCCCCUUGUUUUGAUCCAAGUAAUGUUAACAAAUUGCUCAUUUGUUGCUAGUUUGGGGAAACCCUAGUUUUGUAUGGAUCUAGAGAUUUGCAUGGAGAUGUGAGAUGUUUGUUUGCCAAUUUCCUAUGAUUAGGCUUGUUAGUAUGUUAGGGUUAUUCUUAUGGGUGUUCUUAUGUUGGUGCUAGGGUUAGGGUUGUUGUUUCAUAUAUAUUUUAGGGUUUGCAUUCCGUGUUAAUCUUUGGAUUAAUACUCAUGGAAGCAAUGUUAGGUUGUGUUGUUUGAAUGCUUAUAGGGAUGUGAAGAACAUGUGUGUUUGUUCAUCAUGGGGACAAAGACGCCUUCUUAAAAGGCAAUAUUGAACCGGACCCGGAUGAGCUUGACAUGGUGUUUGAUAGUAGUCCUAGCUAUGCGGAGCUCUUGCAACAAGCGAGGAAAGAUUUGAAUUGGAUGGACCCUAGUGAUAUCGUUGAGUUGGAGGGAAGGCAUAAUGUUGGUUUCGGAAUGCACAUCUGUUGGAAGACAAUGCGUGUCAACUCGGAGCAAUGUUGAGUUGCAUACAAGGAGACGGUGGCCGAAUCACUAGACAAGGCUCUUGAGUUAUUUGCAACGAAGAAGGUUGACUCAAGUUUGCAUUUGGACCUGAACCGGAACCCCCCCCUUUGGUUGCUAGUAGCCCCCCACCCUUGAACCCAAGAAGUGAGGCCAACAUUGAGCACGUUUCCAAACAACCAAAAUGAAGCUUUGCAAGAGGAGCAUGAUGAGUAUGUGGACGAUGACAAUGAAGUUGAUCUCCAUGACAACAAUGUGGGUGAUCUCGACAAAUAUCAUUUGCAAGAGACAAUGGACCAUUCCAUCCCUUAUUCCCGUGGCUAUGCAUCGGAUUCGGAUGACGAAGGUCUCGAUGAACAAGUUGAUGAGGAGGGGUUCACGGUGAAGGAGGCCGAAGCUUUCGAGAAGGUAUUCGGUCGGGAUCAUCGGACUACAUUGUUCAAGGAUGUUAGUCUCGCGGAUGAAGCUGUGGUAGAUGGUGGCCAAGGUAUAUCUCUUGGGGUUAGGCCAAGCUCUCACCGUGAUUUGGAUGACGGCAAGAACGGGAUUGCUAAAGGGUCUAAGUUCGAAACCUUCUUGGAAUUGAAGAUGUGGCUCGACAACUACUCGGUUACGCAUUAUCGUCCACACAAGGUGGUGAACUCGGACGUCAAUGUGCGCUACAUGGUUGCAUGUGCAUGUGAAGAUGAAAUAUGUCCGUGGAUUGUGCGUGCACGACCAUGGAAAGGAGGUCCCACUUGGCACGUAGUGAGUUGUGUGCCAACUCACAUGUGCCGAGGCAAAAGGGUGGAUGGCAAGGUUGUGUCCCGAGACCACAGACAACUCACAUCCGAGUUCAUCCCUUACAGGCUCUCAAACUCAUUAUCCACACUUGCAACAAUGAGCAUCCAACAUGUCAUUGACCUUGUGAGAGCCAUCUUUCAUUACAAGGUGAAGUACGGCAAGGCAUGGAAGGGAAGCAAGCCGCAUUUAAGAUGUUGUAUGGUACUUGGGAGGAAUCAUACAACUGAAUCCCUAGGUUGUUGUUAGCCAUGGCCACCACAAACCCGGGCAUGGCUCAUGUGGUCGAGCCUCAUGGGGAAAAACAACGGUUCAUGAAGGAAGGAAAGUCCGAGUAUUUGGCCGUGCAUUUUGGGCGUUUGAGCAAUGCGCGAGGGCUUUCGAACACUGUAGGCCGGUCAUCGCCAUUGAUGGCACGUUAUUGACCGGACAAUACAAGGGAACCUUGUUGGUUGCAAUAACAAGUGAUGCCAAUAACCGGGUGUUGCCAUUGGCAUUUGCUUUGGUUGAGGUGGAGAACAAUGACAACUGGGAGUGGUUUUUGCAUCUUUUGAGGACGAAGUUGUUGCCCGCUCAGAGGGAAAUUUGUGUCAUAUCGGAUCGGCAUCAAGGAAUUCUUAACACGGUGGAGAUUGACAUUCCCGGGCAUGCUCCAUUGCACCAUCGAUGGUGCAUGAGGCACUUUUGUUCGAACUUCCAUAGGGCAUGUGGCCUUAAGGAGUUGGCCGAUGAUCUUCAAGAUUAUUGUCUCGCUUUCUCCGACAAGCGGUUCGUCACUUUGUACAACAAAUUGCUCGCACACAAAAAACUUGAUCCUGGGGGUCAAGACUUUCUCAAUAGGCACAUCGAAUACCGGAACAAGUGGGCACGUGCUUUUGAUGAAGAUGGCUGGAGAUAUGGUCAAAUGACAAGCAAUAUGGCCGAAUGCUUCAAUAAGGUGCUCAAAGGUGCACGUGAAUUACCCGUGACGGCAAUAGUUCAAUACACAUUUGACAAGAUGAAUGCGUACUUUCUAAAGUACUCGACGGAAACGGAUGCACAGAUAGCGGGUGAGAACAAGCGCAAGUACAAGUACAAGUUCCCACCCAAGGUUGAUGAAUGGUUGGAAUUUCAACACGGAAGGCAGACUCACACUAUACUAUAUGACAACGAAGAGUGGAAGUAUGAAGUGAAAGAGCCAGGAGGAACCAGAAACGAUGGCCGCCAACAUCGAGGUCGGGCUUUCAAGGUGUCGUUAACACGUUGUGACUGCUCUUGCGAGAGGCCAUUGCUGCUUCAUCUCCCAUGCUCACGCUUGUAUACCGCUGGUCGCGUUAGGAAUGUGGACGUCAAUCACCCCCUCACCGUGAGGGAGUCGGAGUUCUCAAUCAUGAUGGUCAAGAAAACAUGGGCUCCCUGCUUUCACCCAUACUUUGACCAAUCACAAUGGCCAGAGUACCAUGGAGUUCAACUAUGGCCGGAUCCGGAGUUGAAGGUGUUAAACGGGGUAGACGUAAGACAAAGCAUCUUAGGGGCGACAUGGACGGAUGGGGCCAUGGUGGCCGCCGCGGAGAGGGCAACGACCAAUUCCAAGAGCCUCGUGAGAGCUCCCGUUGUGGGGAAUGAAAAGGUCAUGGCCACAACAAAAGAAAAUGUACGAAACCAAGGAAAACGUCCAAGAAAAUUGAUGCAAGCACAAGCCAACAAGGAUCUACACAAGGGAGCCAACCAAGUGGUAGCCAACAAGUGCCAAGCCAACCAAGUGGUAGCCAACAAGUGAAAGGCAACAAAGUGGUAGCCAGCAAGUGCCAAGCCAACCAAGUGGUAGCCAACAAGUGCCAAGCCAACCAAGUGGUAGCCAACCAAGUGGUAGCCAAAAAGGAUCUAGGCAAAAAAGAGGGAGGCAACUAGGACUUACAAGAGGCCGUGGUGGUGGUAGAGCUCGUGGUGGUGGUCUAGGCCGUGGUGGUGGUAGAGCUCGUGGUGGUGGUGUUGGCCGUGGUGAUGGUCUUGGCCUUGGUGAUGGUCUUGGCCUUGGUGCUGGACUUGGCCGUGGUGGUGGUCAAGGGCAAGGUCGUUAUAGAGGAAUGUUUGGAUACCUCGAUGGACCAUUUCCGUAUGUUGCUCACUAACUAUAAUGUUUCAUAUGUUCUUGUUGUCCUUAUUCACUAAUAUGUUGCAAUGUACAUGUUCUUCCAUUUGUUCUUAUUGUCAUUACUAACUACUAUGUUUCACUCAUUGUAGGUAUGGCGGCUUCUCAACCCAACAAACCAACAAUGAAGGAGGAUGGCGAAGAUGAGAUGGCGGGAUGGUGGGAGAAGGCUGUGAAGAAGCUGAGAGAGGAGGAUGCAGCCGCACUAAAGAAGAAGAAGAAGGAAGAGGAGCUCGAAGAGAAGAGGAAGGAAAGAGAGAGAGUAGAUUAUGAGUGUUGCGCUAGGGAGCAUGCGUUGAAGAGAAAAUGUGAGGAGGCACAGAAGAAGCGUCUCAAGGAUUUUCAAGAAAGAACCUUGAAACUUUGGGCAUUCGAAGUAGAAAAAAAAGAGAACAAGAUAUUCAUGGAGAGGGUGGUUAAGGAGGUUCACUGCAUAAGGAAAAGGAAGGAGGAAGAGGAAGAAUAAGAAAGAAAAGGGGCCUUGCUCUACACAAUAGAGCUAUAUCAUCUUCAACUUGCUUGUGGACUAUGUGUCAUGAAGUACUAUGUAUUUCUUCCUCUAUUUGGUUGUAUGAACUACUCCUCAAGUUGAAGUACUAUGUGUUAUAAACUACUAUGUGUCGUGAAGUACUUUGUGCAUAUGUUGUCUUCACAGUUGUCUGCUUGCCAUCUAUCAAUCCUAAUGCACAUCAUCAUACUAUGUGUGCAUAUGCUAUCUUCACACUUCUAUGUUUGCCAAAAAAUCGCUAAGUGUUGGUGUGGCGCCUAGCCUGGAGGUGCCACACUGUACCGUGCAACGCCUAGCUCGGAUCACCAGAGAGACCGAGCGCCUGAGGGUAGAAGAGCUUCAUCUUAAUUUUUGCCAGAACGAAUCUUCUACGGUGUACCAUCGAAGGCAUCAGAGCCGGUUUCCGGCGGCGAUCGAGCCGACCCGGCUGUUUGAGAUGUCGCGUGACCCGCAUGAGCCGGCAGACCAGGGGAAUGGAGCCGGCUUGCCAGGGGAAGCCCCUGUCAUACCCAGUUGACCCCGAACAUACCUCUAAAUACGGCCUCGCCACAGCCGCAGUUAUGCCAGAUGCCUCAGGAAUCUCAGCCGGCUCAACCGACAUUGGCGGCUCAACAUCAACCCCGCUGUUUCCAAGCGCCAGGUGGUCAUUAUUCCAACCCGGUUGAUAAUGUGCUGGCGGUGACUCACAAUCUUACUGCGAUUCCGAUUACUGGGAAUAACCCGAUUGAGAUCGAGGCUAGGAAUGCCAUCUAGAUGCUGAAAACUACGGUUACCCAGUAGGCGAACUAUUCUCACAGUCAGCAUCGGCUUCAUUCCACCCCACACCAGAGUCAUAGCAGGAGGGGACACGCCGAGUCCUCGACAGUUUCUAGUAGUGUACGCCGGCAGCGGGAGCGGCAGCAGCACUCGAACCUGCCAUGACCGGCAGUCACAGAUGCGCAGGCGAUUGUCGAUGCUGCUCGUGCUAUGCGAGAAGCGGGAGUAGGAAACACAGGAGUUGCACACACUCAACCCCCACCCACCGCAGCCCAGCCAACCUCAUGGAGUAUCGAUCUAACUAGCAGGACUAUUGGGACAUCGUGCUUAGUGCCUGCCUUGAGCAAUGAGCACGUGCCGCCUGAUUUCAAGGGUCCUCGCAAGGUCCCUAACUACACAGCUGAUUUAGAGCCAGCUGAGUGGAUUCAAAGUUAUGAGUUAGCCAUGGAUAUGUUGGACGCUAGUAAUGCAGAUUGUGCUAAAUAUCUGACCAUGAUGUUGGAAGGGCCAGCGCGCACAUGGUUGAAAAACUUGCGCCAACUCAAUCAACACUUGGGAAGAACUGAAAGAGCGCUUCAUCAAGAAUUUCCAAGGAACCUACAAACUGCCAACUAUGAUUGUUGAUCUCGAGCAUUGUAUUCAGCGUAACGACGAGUUUUCACAUCACUGGUACAUCUUGCUGCAGAGAUUAUCCAUUCUUCAGAUAGCCGUUCAAGCCAUUCUCUUCUUGGAAAGAAAUUUUCAUUUCCAACCUUUCGUCCAGAAGCUUGUAUGUCUCAAAGGGAAGGUUAAAUACAUGGGUGAUCUCAUGGACAUUCUUACCAGAUAUGUUGAGCAGAUAAUACGAAGGAUCCAACUUCAGAUGACGAGAAGUCUGGCAAGGGCAAGAAAACGGUGGCAGUAAGGAUCACCAGCGAAAUAGUCAUGUGCACAAUAGCAAUGAUGGCAAUCAGGGUAACAAUGGCAACAAUAAAAAGCACAGGAGCAGUGAAGGAGGAUCAAUCUUUGUUGCUAAUACAAAUACUGGUUUCAAGAACCGGAGAGGGGGUAAUAAUUUGGGUCGUCCUUAUAACGGGAAUCGACCUCGUAACUACGAGGAAGCCCUCAAAUGGGCCAUGUCCCAAACACAGUUUUGAUGGCAAGCCAGCAAAUCACUCUUGGGAAAACUGCUUCAUUAUGUAGGAGUUUAGAAACAAAGUUUUUCAGAACCAUCAUGGUAGCGGCAAUGGGGGACAUCUAGGAAAUUCUAGGGCCGACGGGUCCGGAGCCGGCCUUUAGGGUGCCGGCUCACAAGGGACUUUCCCCAGUGCACGCUUCUAGGGGUCUGGCGCCCAGGGUUUGGUUUUCAGGGGCCUGGUAUUGGCGGCGGCAAUAAUCAGCGAUCUGGCCAGGGAAAUCAGAACCAGGGAAGUUAGUCCGGGUACCAAAGCAAUCCAAAGCAGUUAAACAGCGAACAGUAUCACGUUUUCACGACCAGCACCUACAAGCAUGACCGGAAACUCCAGAAACGGGUCAUGAACAUGGUUGAGCCGGCAGUUCUGGAGUACUUGAACUGGUCAGAGCAGCCUGUGAUUUGGAGUCGUGAGGAUUAUCCUCCCCGGGUUGAUAAUCCAGGUUGCCUUGCUCUGGUGGUAGCACCUCAAGUUAGUGGGUAUAAGCUCACUAAGGUACUCAUGGAUGAUAGGAGUAGCAUCAACAUCCUCUAUUAUGAUACUUUCAAGCGAAUGAACCUGUCAGAGAAGCAGCUUAAACCAUCAUCUAUGGUGUUUCAUGGGAUUGUUCCCGGGAAGUCGGCAUAUCAUAUUGGGAAAAUCUCCCCAGAAGUGGUCUUUGGCACUGAAUUUAACUUCAGAUCUAAGUUUCUGACGUUUGAGGUGGUCAAAAUCAGAAGUCCUUAUUGCGCUCUGUCUGGACGACCAACUUAUGCUCGGUUCAUGGCACGACCUUGUUAUUUCUAUUUGAGGCUCAAAAUGCCGGGCCCUGAAGGGACUAUCACAGUUGAUGGUGACAAGAAAAUUUCCCUGGAGUGUGAGGAAGGAGAUGUAGUUUACACUGAGUCAGCUUGUGCAAGUGAGGAGUUGAAAUUUUACAAGAAUAACAUUGACUGAGCUGAUAUGACUUCUCUGAAAAAGUGAACUACUAAGUCUGACCCCUACUCAAAUUCAAGUGGGCUGAUGAUACUAAGCAAGUGGAUUUCACCCCUGGCGACUCAUCUCAUUAGUUCACCAUUGGGGCUAAUAUGGAUCCCAAAUAGGAAAGCACGCUCAACGAGUUCUGACAUGCCUGGUGUACCGAGAGAACUCGUUGAGCACUGCCUAAAUGUGGAUCCUAAGAUGAAGCCUGUCCGAUAAUACCUCCGUUGUUUUAACGAAGAGAGACGUAAAGCCAUUGGCGAUGAGGUAGCCCAGCUCCUAGCUGCCGGUUUCAUCAUCAAAGUUUUUCAUCCUGAGUGGUUGGCUAACCUAGUGCUUGCUCUAAAGAAGAACGAAACUUGGCGGAUGUGCGUUGAUUACACAGACCUGAACAAGGCCUGCCCUAAGGAUACAUUCGCUCUUCCUUGCAUUGAUCAAAUCAUUGACUCUACUGCUUGCUGUGAGUGUUUGUGUUUCCUGGAUGCUUAUUUUGGAUAUCAUCAUGUCAAGAUGGUGGAGAAAGAUCUGGAGAAAACAACUUUUAUCACACCUUUUGGAGCUUUUUGCUAUACAUCUAUGCCAUUUGGGCUGAAAAGCGCAGGUCCAACUUACUAGCGUUGUGUCCAGAAUUGUUUUCACAAGAAAAUUGGUUGUAACAUUCAUGCUUAUUUUGACGACAUCGUGGUCAAGUCUUGGAAGAAGGAAACAUUGCUGGACGACCUCAAGGAGACGUUUGAUAAUCUUCAAAUUUACGAGAUGAAGCUCAACUCAGCAAAAAUGUGUAUUUGGUGUUCCUGCAGGGAAACUGAUGGGUUUUCUAGUGUCCGAGCGUGGUACUGAGGCCAACCCAGAAAAAAUCAAAGCUAUCACAAUGUUAGCCAAGCCGACCAACAUCAAGGCCGUCCAGAAAUUGAUAGGUCGUGUGGAAACUGUGAGCCGGUUUAUAAGUCGGCUUGGUGAGAAGGCUAUCCCUCUUUAUCAACUUCUUAAAAAAUCAGACAAUUUCACUUGGGGCAAUGUUGCUGAUAAAGCCUUUGAGUCCCUCAAGAAGCAGUUGUCUGAGCCACCUAUAAUUGCUGCUCCUCAGGAGAAGGGGUCGAUGCUCUUGUACAUUGCAGCCAAUAAUAAAGUAGUAAGUGUGGCAGUCGUCGCGGAACGUAAGGAAGAAGGGAAAGAAUAUCCAGUUCAAAGGCUGGUCUACUAUGUCAGUGAAGUCCUGAUCGAGUCCAAACAGCAGUAUCCACAUUGGCAAAAACUGUUUUUGGGUGUUUUCAUGGCUGGUCGCAAGUUAAAGCACUAUUUAGAGGAGCAUCCCAUCACAGUGGUCAGCUCAGCUCCUUUGGGAGAUAUUAUCCAGAAAAGAGAAGCCACAGGCCGGGUUGCCAAGUGGGCCAUUGAGCUCGGCCCAUAUCACCUGAAGUAUGUGUCGAGAACGGCUAUCACGUCUCAAACUUUGCUGGAUUUCAUCAACGACUAGACUGAGUUACAAGCUGCAGAAGAGAAGCCUAAUAAUACAUACUGAACGAUACACUUUGAUGGCUCCAGGCAAUUGGAAGGCUCGGGGGUUGGAGUAGUUUUAACUUCUCCGCGAGGUGAUAGAUUUUGUUAAGUUUUGAGACUCAUGUUUCCUUGCACUAACAAUGCAGCUGAAUAUAAGGCUUUUGCUUCAUGGGCUUCGUAUGGCUAAGGAGAUGAAUCUCAGUCGGGUGGGCGACUCAGACUUGGUGGCUCAACAGGUUUCAGGGAUUUGGGAUUCCAAAGACCACCUUAUGGCGGCUCACAGACAUGCUGUUACUAUUAUUGGUGGCCACUUCACCAGUUACCAGGUUAAUCAUAUUGAUCGAUGAUAGAAUGAAGCAACAGUUGCCUUGUCUCGCUUGGCCUCUCGGCGCAAAGCCUAUUCCACCCAAUGUUUUCCUUGAUGUUUUGCAUAACCCCUUUGUAAAGUUACCAACGGAGGAAGACCUUGCUAUUCCUAACCUAGAAUCAGAGCUGGAGGUUGUAGUUCAUGCCACCCUAGAGUGGACAGUUCCUUACUUGGCUUAUCUUGUUGGGAAUCGUUGCAUGGAAAACAAAAAAAAUUCUACGCACACGUAAUAAUCUAUCCAUGGAGAUGCAUAGCAACGAGGGGGAGAGUAUGUCUACGUACCCUCCUAGACCAUAAGCGGAAGCGUUUGACAACGCGGUUGAUGUAGUCGAACUUCUUCACGCUCCAACCGAUCAAGUACCGAACGAGCGGCACCUCCGCGUUCUGCAUGCGUUUAGCUCGGGGACGUCCUCCGCCUUCUUGAUCCAGCAAGAUGGCGAGGUAGUAGAUGAGUUCUGACAGCACGACGACAUGGUGACGGUGAUGGUGAUGUGAUCUCCGCAGGGCUUCGCCUAAGCACUAUGAAAAUAUGACCGUGGGAGUAAACGGUGGACGGGGGCACCGCACACGGCUAAGACAAUGUUGUGUCCUUGUGUGGCGCCCCCUCCCCACAUAUAUAUAGGUGGGAGGGGAGAGGAUGCAGCCUAGGGCAGCCAGGGUGCGCCCCAAGGGGCUGGCUGCCGUCCCUAGGGCUCCUGCCCUCCUGCGCCCCCCCCCCUUUUCCUUUUAUGAAGAAGGGGGAAGGAAAGAGGAGGAGAGGGAAGGAAGGGGGAGUCCUAAUCCACACUUUCCUUCCCCUCCCCUCUUUCCUUAUCCUCCUCAUAGGGCCGGCCUCUAUAGGGGCGCACCAGCCCCUUAUGGGCUGGUGUGUUCCCUCUCUUGGCCCAUAAGGCCCAUAGCUUUGCCCGGGGUGCCCGAAACUGCUUUCCGGUGACCCGAUAAGUACCCGGUACCCUCCGAAACACUUCCAGUGUCCGAAUACCGCCGUCCUAUAUAUCAAUAUUUACCUCUCGACCAUUUAGAGACUCCUCAUCAUGUCUGUGAUCUCAUCCGGGACUCCGAGCAACAUUCGGUCACCAAAUCAUAUAACUCAUAUAAUACUAUAUCGUCAACGAACGUUAAGCGCGCGGACCCUACGAGUUCGAGAACUAUGUAGACAUGACCGAGACACCUCUCCGGUUAAGAACCAAUAGCGGAACCUAGAUGCCCAUUUUGGCUCCUGCAUAUUCUAUGAAGAUCUUUGUCGGUCGAAUCGUUAUAACAACAUACGCAAUUCCCUUUGUCCAUCGGUAUGUUACUUGCCCGAGAUUCGAUCGUCGGUAUCUUAAUACUUAGUUCAAUAUCGUUACCGGCAAGUCUCUUUACUCGUUUCGUAAUACAUCACCUCGUGACUAACUCCUUAGUCGUUUGCUCGCAAGCUAAUGAUGUGUAUUACCGAGAGGGCCCAGAGAUACCUCUCCGAUUCUCGGAGCGACAAAUCCUAGUCUCUAUCUAUGCCAACUCAACAAACACCUUCGGAGAGACCUGUAGAGCAUCUUUAUGAUCACCCAGUAUCAUAGGGGGAAGGAAAGAGAGGGGGAGGGAAGGAAAGUGGGAGGCCGAAUCCUCCCCUUUCCUUCUCCCUUCCCUCCUUUCCUUCUCCUCCAAUUUUGGCCUAUAUGGAGGUGCACCAGACCCUUGUGGGCUGGUCCGUCCCUCUCUUGGCCCAAUAAGGCCCAUAUCUUUGCCGGGGGUGCCCGGAACCCCUUCCGGUGACCCGAUAUGUACCCGGUACCCUCCGGAACAUUUUCGGUGUCCGUAUACUAUCGUCCUAUAUAUCAAUCUUUACCUCUCCACCAUUUCGAGACUCCUCAUCAUGUUUGUGAUUUCAUCCGGGACUCCGAACAACAUUCGGUCACCAAAUCACAUAACUCAUAUAAUACAAAAUCGUCAUCGAACGUUAAGUGUGCGGACCCUACAGGUUCGAGAACUAUGUAGACAUGACCGAGACACCUCUCCGGUCAAUAACCAACAGCGAACCUGGAUGCUCAUAUUGGUUCCUACAUAUUCUAUGAAGAUCUCUAUCAGUCGUACCGUAAUGACAACAUACGUUAUUCCCUUUAUCAUCGGUAUGUUACUUGCCCGACAACAUACCUAGUUCAAUCUUGUUACGGCAAGUCUCUUUACUCGUUCCGUAAUGCAUCAUCCUGCAACUAACUCAUUAGUCACAUUGCUUGCAAGGCUUCUUAUGAUGUGCAUUACCGAGAGGACCCAGAGUUACCUCUCCGAUACUCAGAGUGACAAAUCCUAAUCUCAAUCUAUACCAACCCAACAAACACCUUCGGAGAUACCUGUGGAGCAUCUUUAUAAUCACCCAGUUACGUCUUGAUGUUUGAUAUCACACAAGGCAUUCCUCCGGUAUCCGGGAGUUGCAUAAUCUCAUAGUCGAAGGAAUAUGUAUUGGACAUGAAGAAAGCAAUAGCAAUAAAACUCAACGAUCAUUAUGCUAAGCUAACGGAUGGGUCUUGUCCAUCACAUAAUGAUGUGAUCCCAUUAUCAAAUGACAACACAUGUCUAUGGUUAGGUAACCUUAACCAUCUUUGAUCAACGAGCUAGUAUAGUAGAGGCUUAUUCGGGACACGGUAUUUGUUUAUGUAUUCACACAUGUAUUUAGGUUUUCGAUCAAUACAAUUCUAGCAUGAAUUAUAAACCUUUAUCACGAAUAAGGAAAUAUAAAAUAACAACUUUAUUAUUGCCUCUAGGGCAUAUUUCCUUCAUAUCAUACCCGUGGCAAGCUCCCAGAAGAGGAAAUCAUCGAUCGACAGAUUAUUAGGAGGUCUAAGUCCAUGACUAUAGUCAAUGGCGACUUACACACGAGAAGUAUUACAUGCGUUUUCCAGUGUUGUGCUUUUCCUAAGGAAGGCCACGAGAUUCUCAAUGCGAUUCAUUCCGGUAAUUGUGGUCAUCAUGCCGGCUCAAGGUCUCUAGUCGCGAAGGCUUUUCGACAUUGUUUUUAUUCGCUCGCAGCUCAUGCACUUGUAGAGGAUAUUGUUCGCAGAUGCAAUGGAUGUCGGAAAUUUGCAUGUCAGGCUCAUGUUUCGGCUCAAGAGCUUCAGAUGAUCCCAUUUAUUUGGUUGUUUACAGUCUGGGGGCUUGACAUGGUUGGUCCUUUUAAAUCAUCAAACGAUAAGAAGACUCACCUUUUGGUUGCUAUUGAUAAUUCACCAAGUGGGUCGAAGCGGAACCAAUGCUCAAUUGUGAUGCAGCAACGACAGUUAAAUUCCUGAAGAAGUUGAUCUUUUGUUUUCAUUAUGUGCAUAACAUCAUCACAGACAAUGGAUCUAACCUGUCCAAAGGAGCUAUGAAACAGUUCUGCCAGAAAGAGCGCAUCGGCCUUGAUCUGGCUUCAAUAGCACAUCCGUAGUCCAAUGGUCAAGCAGAAUGUGCUAAUUAAGAAUUAUUGCGUGGGAUUAAGCCAAGACUUAUGGUUCCUCUUGAGCGCACUCCUGGAUGCUGAAUUGAGGAGCUUCCCGCCAUCCUUCGGAGCAUACAGACUACUCCCAAUAGGUCAACACGCUACACGCUGUGUUUUCUAGUCUAUGGUGCAGAAAUCGUAUUGCCAAGUGAUAUCCAUCAUGACUCCCCCAGAGUUGUAGCAUAUGUAGAGGCAGAUAAUGAACAAACUCGUCAAGACUCUCUGGAUGCCUUGGAGGAAGAACACGAUCUUACAACAACAUGAUCAGUGAUAUACCAGCAAGACCUACGUCGCUAUCGCAGCCGUAGAGUCCAAAGCCGUACCUUCUAGGAGGGUGACUUAGUGCUCCGUCUGAUACAAGAACAGACAGAUAUGCAUAACCUUUCACCUCCUUAGGAAGGGCCUUCAUCAUCAGCAAGAACCUAAACAAUGGUUCAUACUAUCUCGUUGAUAUGUGUGAGCGAAAUAAGUCACGUACUUCUGAAGAGGAGAGCAGCAGGCCCUGGAAUAUUGCACAUCUCCGGCCUUAUUAUACUUAAACGCCAUUAGCUUCAGUCCUUUGUACAUACUUUUAUCAUGUAUAUACAUAUUUAAUGAUCAAUGAAAUAGAGCCUGUCUCUAGAACCCGGAGUUUGUCAUUUCAUCUCAAAAAUUGUGUAUUGAGCCAUUAUUCUUUGAUCGUUGUUCACUUGGGGGAUUCCAACUCAUCUUGUUUAGCUACUAACAUCCCUCUUGACCCGGCAUACGCCACUAUAAAUAAUUGGUUAAACCUGCCUCUUAGCUUGAUGCUACUCCGAAAAGGUGACCUGGUUGUACUCUUGACAAGUCAAUCACACUGAUGGCUAUCAUGGACUGUGUUGACCCUGAACUUCUCAAAGUUAAAACACCGGUUUAAGUCACAUGAGAGCCGGCUUUUCGAAAACUAGGAUAAACCAAAAGAGGCUACAAGGCUUGCUUCACAGAAGCAAAUCUCAGACUCGAGCCUCGAAAGUCAGUCUUUUAUGUCGUGCCUCGAAAGCAGGCUCUUUUACUUUCAGUUCUUUUUUAUAUCAUGUUAUAUGUUAUUCAUUCUAUAUACAUAUGGAUCUAUGCAUAUUCUUUUGCAGUAAAGGUUUUCAUAAAUAAAAUCUCGGGUCACAAACCUGACCGGGUCAUGGGAAAUUGAACUUGUGCUUUGUCUAAAGAACUGUGACACUUAACAAUUUCUGUACAUAUAUUUUGCCGGGUUGCACCGCAACCACGACCAAAGACUCACUCAAAACAUAAAGUGCAUACCACCGGGUUGAGCAACAACUGUGAUUGACAUAUAUUUCAAAAGAUUGCCAUUGGCUCAACGGUGAAGUAUUCAAUGCACGAUGGCAUUGCAACAACAUGGGAGUUUUUCUCACACCCAAAAAUUACAAAGCCACAUCCAGGCUAUUUUCACCAUGUUUUUCAACGCAACCAUCACAAUUGAAGAAGCUCACUAUUGUAAGCCGAUGGUGGAGCCCUCCGGGUUGACGUUGACUUGAUCUCCCUCUGCACUAGUUGAAGCCGAGUCAGCAUGUGUCGACUCUUCCGGCAUUUCAGGGGCCGCCUGUUCUGCUCCUUAAGUCUGGGGGUCAUCUGCCACCCACUGAAUUGAAGACAGAGCUUCAAACACCAUGUCUUCCUUGAUCAAAGUCGGAGUGCCGACGUCGGAUGCAAAAGAUUACUUACAUGGAGGAAUCAGCUCGACGGGUUAUGGCUUGGGCAGAUCUCUGCGUUUCUCGGCUUUAGAAUAGCCGGCUUGAAAUUUGGUUAGAUCCAAUGUUUCUGCAAUCGUCGUUGCUGACUCGGGUCUCCUUCACACAGCAUAGAUAGUCCUUUUCAGUAAAAAGUGAGUUAUCUACGUUGAAUUAUGGGAACCCAUCAGCUAGAAGAGUCGGUUCCAUCUCCGGGUGAUAAGCCUUCGCACGCGCCAGUGAGCACAUAGCCCCUUGUCGGCAAGCCUCCUUCUUCAACUCCUGGAUCCAUUCUGGAACAGUGGAUAAUUCCCUGAUCAUAUCCAUAAUGUGGCGAGGUGGCUCCUUGGUGUUGUUGAUUGACAUUACACACUUAGCACCACCCACAUAUAGCUGUUCCAGAAAUUUAUAAACGGCCUUCAGCUUCACAGGAGGGAGUUCCAACACAUUAUGAUGUUUUUUGCCUGUUGACACAACAAUACAAAUAAGAAACCCGGUUCAGAUAUCAACCUGGAACUAUUUGGCGACUUACAGUUGUGAAGAAAGUUAUCCUUACCAAAGAUGGAUAUGCACAUGUCAGUAAUGUGACCCUUAAGUCUCUGCAGUUCUUGGGUCACCGGCUGGAGUUUCAACUCGGCCUCCUCUGUGCGUUUCAAUAAGGCGGCCUUUUUCUUGCUCAAAGUCAGCCUUGGUUUUUCUAUGUGUCUGUGACAGAAGAACGGACCUUUGGAAAUCUGAAGACAAGCUUUCUGCCUCUUCUCGAAGCUUCAUUUCUUCCUGGUCUUUCUAUAAGCCGGCCUCCCGUGACUCGGUUUUGUUCGGCAUAUCCUGCACAUACAGACUAACAAAAGCAGGCACGUUAUUGGCAGUUCCAAGUCCCCGCAGGCGCAGGACCCUGGCCUUGGGGGCUACACUAUUCAAGUUUUGAAUCCUAUGACGAAAAAAGUCCCGAGCCGCCAGCGGCGAUCGGCCCGGCACUUGGGGGCUACAUUAUUCAAAUUUAUGAAGUCCCGAGCCGUCGCUGGCGUUCAACACGGUACUUCGGUGCUACAUCAGUCAAAUCUGGCCUCUUUUGUCAAGUACCAUGUAGCUACAAGUACUCAACAUGGCACUUGGGGGAUAGUGCAUUCUCAUUUUUGAAUAAGCAUACCUUUGAAGACCCGGCUCAUCAUAUGUUGCUAAGCCGGGCCUUGGGGGCUACCUAUUGCUCCUAUUACAUUUAACAAGUUUUGUUUUACAAAGAACCAGCUCAUUAUUACCUAAUAACCCGACCCUUGGGGGCUACAUGUGAGUACAACCUAAGUGAUGAUUUCCAAAACAGGUCAAGGGUACCAACCCAGAUUUUAUUCAGAGCUUUUACCCAAGCAAGUAUUAAGCAUAUCACUACUUUCUCUACUUAAGACUUGGAGGCUACACAUAUAUACAUACAUGGAUGAAGGAAGCAACAAGACAUACCUCAUACUUUCUCUUCAACGUGUUGGCCAUAGCAAUUUCAGUAUCUUGGCUCUCAGAUAGCCGGGUCAAGAAUCCAUGAUGCAGAGAGGUCACAUCAAAAUUUUCAAGUGAUUGAAGACUAGCUUUUCCCUUCUCCUUACUUGGCAAAUAAUUCUUUGAUAUGAUUUUAGCCAAGGUCAUUGAAGUUUCAGGAGCUGGGUCGCAGUGUUCACUAGUAACAACCAUGUUAUCCCGGGCCUUGGUUUCCGGAUCAACACCGGCUGAGUUAUCCUUCGAAUCUUCUUUAUUUUCCUCCACAAUAGGAGGUGUGGAAGCGCGGACAGGGCUUGCCGGGUUGUCCUGGUGAGACAGCUCUUCUUCACUAGCCGGGUUGACCUGAAUCUCCAGGUUGCCUGUUGCAACGUCAUGAGAAGGGAUUUCCUCCUCAGUUCCUGUCAUGGCAGCAGAGGACUCGCCAGUUUUGUUUUUGACAAAAACCUUAGCCCUUAAUUUAUAUAAAAGCGGGUCCGCAAAGUAGGAAAUGAGAUGUUAAAUAGCAUAAUUUUCUUGAUUACUUACCCACGAUUGAUAUUAAAAGGCGACACUUGGUUGGAGCAAGAUUCAUCAGAAGACAGUGAAGUCGUAUGGUAAUCCGGGUCAGAAUGACUCAACGGUAUCUUGAUUUGACCCGCCCUCGGGCAAGAUGUCACCGGGUUGGGAUUCUCUUGAGUCCUAACAUGGUGCGGAGAAGGCUGGUAUGAUAGACCAUCUAACAACUCGCCAGAACUGGCCCGGGUCUUCCUUUUCAAGCCGGCCUCGUGUUGCGUUUUCUUCAAAGAUAAGUGUAUAUCUAAGUAAGCUUUUGGGUGCGAAAAUGGUACCUUACGGACUGCAUUCCGGGUUCUUCUUUGCCCAAGUGUUUCCAAGUCAGAAGAAGAGAGGUUUACCUCAGUCUCCUUGGCUCGACUGGUCCCAGUAUUUUCCUGUGACGUGGUGGCGUUAGCAAGUUCAUUAAAGAGGCGGCCAAGAGAGUCAAGAUCUUCUAGCUCAAUUUCCUCUUCUUCUUCCGGUUCUUCAUCCCAAGGUGGACUAGGAUUUUGAGGUCCAGUUUUCCACCACUCAGAAUUCUCAUGCACGAAGCAACAAGCUGACAUAUUAAGCAGAGCGAAAAAGCAAAUUUAUAUAAAACAAUAUGAAUGAAAAAUCAAAAGGCGACUUACUGGAUGUGCCAGGUUGCGUGCAAAGAAGAGGGCCAAGCCUACAAGGCCGAUUUUGCCUCGGCUCUCGCAUAGAAGCUUCUUGGUGGAUUUUAUGAGCUCAGAUGUUGUCAAGUCAACCUGGCCGAAGCGCAGAGGGUCUUUCAACUCAUCGAUAUAUUCAUGCAUAAGACAGCCCCUUAGGCUAAGGGGUUGGAUUCACCAGUUCAUCCAACACCUGGUCAAGUCGACUCCAGUGAGGCCGUGAGCUAUUAAAGCAUUUAUUUUAAGUAUAAGGGUUCCAAUGUCUCCCUUUCUAGUUUGGAGGCGAAACCUGGAAAGAUCGUCGAAGCGUCAAGCCGGUCUAGUCUAUAACCCGACAAAGGAUGAUGCCGUGCUGGUGAAGUAUCCUUGCAAUAAAACCGGGCAUGUGCCAUCCUUUCGAGUGGCUCGCCAGUGAUACGUUGGGAAAGGUCGAGCUUUUCCUUCUUUGGAUGGUUGCUCCUCCAAGUUCUAUGCUCGGUCCUCCCUUGUGCUCUGUUUGAUGGUUGAGAUAGAAAAAAUGUUGGAAGAAACUAACAAACGGCUCAAUCUGGAGAUAUACUUCACAGAACACUUGAAAUUGGCUUAAAUUCAAAACUGAGUUGGGUCCAAGAUCUUGAGGCCUGAUGUUGAAGUGAUGAAGUACAUUGCGGAAGAACUUUGAACCCGGAGGAGAAAAGCCCUUGUCUAGGUGGUCGGCGAAUAUGACGACCUCAUUCUCACCAGGUAGUGGAUGGAUCUCCUCAUCGGGUGCGCGCCAUUCUAUUUCGGCUUGGGAUGGGAGCAACCCGGUGUUCACCAAGUUGUCCAGCAUAAGUGGGGACAUGCUGGAUUUAGCCCAGUUGACAGCUUUGUUGGUCUUGGGAGCCAUGAGUUCAGUUGCAAAUAAAGCUCAACUACAAGGUAUGAAAAACAAGUAUAAGCCGGCUAUGAUAUAUGGAGCAAGCAUCAAGGGAUGAGUAAGAGCUCUUCAGAGGUAUAAGACGAUAAAAUAACCUUGAUGUCCGUGAGAUGGCAGUUGCAAAUCAAAUUACGAGCGGCUAUGAACGCCCGAGUAGCGAUUAUUAAAUGAGCAAAGGUCUAAGGAAUAUGAAGAAACUUCUAUGGAUUACUACGAUUUGAGAGCUGACAAUGGUGUAAAUGGACAAAAAAUACCAGUGUAAUUCACAAUUUGACAAGUGGUGAAGCCAAGUCCAGGUCAAAGCAAUCGAAAACAGAAAAUGUUCAGAUUUGGUUACAACUAUAGAUCUGGAAAAUAUUUGAAAAAGAAAAGAAAAACCUAGGUAUGGUGGAGCUGCUAGGUGAAGAAACGGCAAUGGAGUCCACUUGGUGCAACAAGAGGGAUCUAAAACGUGAUCAAUUUAGUAGCGGAGGCAGUCAGAUAUCCCACAAGCAAU
rnacentral:lncRNA from 1 species